AUUAUCUGUCCCUGUGUCACCUUCAGCAACAUUUAAACAAACCUUUUCUUUUUCCAGGAAUUUCCAAAUCCUUUGGCAUUUCAUGUCAAAGAACUGGGCCCAAGGCAAUCUGCAGCAGUGCUGGAUGUUGCAAUGCAGGUCCAGCCCCUCCCCAGGCUCUGUGUGGAGUGGCCAGUGCUUCACCUACAACUGCAGAGCCCCAUUUUGAGGAAACCUGGGGUUUUUUUCCAGAAACCACAACCCCAGAAAUAUCAAACCUCAGGAUCCCAUAAAGGGAGAGGGAAAGUUGUCACUGGACCCAGAGGCUUGCAACAGCUGACCACUGCUGGGAACUCGGGAAAGAAAACCAAGACCCCAAAGAUCCCAAUACGCUGACAGUCAGCACAAUGUCCUGCAGGAGAACCCCCGCUUUGCCAAGCCCUGUCAGCACUCCAGAGGAUCCUUUGGCAGUUGUCUCUGAUGAUCUUUGAAAGCCCCCUUGCUGAAGCCUGCAGAGUGCCUCCACCCCCCCUGCCACGGGCUCAGGCCGUGCUCCCAGAGCUGUGGAGUGUGACAAUGGUGUUUGUGUCCAGUCUAUCAAACGCCAUUAUCACACUAAAUAGCUAUGGGUAGACAAGGCAUCAGGGCAGGAAGGUCUGGGACCUCUGGCACUGCACCUGCCCACUGUGCUGAGGAAUAAACAGCCUGGUGCAUGUACAGCUUGGGAGUUUCUUUUUCCUGUUGGACUGACCAGGACAAUAGAAAACUGAAGCCAAUUAGCUGAUGAAGUGAAACUCUGUCUCUUACUUUGGUACCAAAUCACAACAUAGGUUUGGAAUAUUGACUGAGGUGCUCGUGACAGCCUUCAAACACUUUCCAAAAUUCUGAUUAAAAUCUAUUGCCUCUAACUUGAAACAUCAUUUAUCCAGGUUCCACACGCUUUCAGCUUUGCUCCCUUCCAUGUCACAAUGAUUUGAGCACCACACCCAAGCCCACUGCCUUAUGUUCUAAACCUUAAUAUUCACAGCACCAAAUGCCUCUCCAGUGUGUACUUGUGGAACAGGAACAUGGCUCAGUGCUGAGCUUUUAG